rnacentral:rRNA from 1 species
UACGAAGGGGGCUAGCGUUGCUCGGAAUUACUGGGCGUAAAGGGCGCGUAGGCGGACAGUUAAGUCAGGGGUGAAAUCCCGGGGCUCAACCCCGGAACUGCCUUUGAUACUGGGUAUCUCGAGUCCGGAAGAGGUGAGUGGAAUUCCGAGUGUAGAGGUGAAAUUCGUAGAUAUUCGGAGGAACACCAGUGGCGAAGGCGGCUCACUGGUCCGGUACUGACGCUGAGGUGCGAAAGCGUGGGGAGCAAACAGG